GGAUUAGGCAUGCAAGUCGAACGAAUCCCCUUUGGGUAACUGAGUGGGGGAAGUGGCGAAAGGGGCAGUAAUGUAUGGGUAACCUACCCUGGGGUUGGGCAUAGCCAUUCUAACGAGUGGGUAAUACCCAGCGAUUUGGCGGGCCGGCAUCGGUCUGCCAAGAAAGAAUUUCGCCUCGGGAGGGGCUCAUAUGAUAUUAGCUAGUUGGUGAGGUAACGGCUCACCAAGGCGAAGAUGUCUAGCGGGUGUGAGAGCACGACCCGCGCCACUGGCACUGAGACACUGGCCAGACACCUACGGGUGGCUGCAGUCGAGGAUCUUCGGCAAUGCGCGCAAGCGCGACCGAGCGACGCCGUGUGGGCGAUGAAGGCCUUCGGGUUGUAAAGCCCUGUCGAGGGGGAGAAAAGCUCGAAAGAGUGUGAUCUAUCCCUGGAGGAAGCUCGGGCUAAGUUCGUGCCAGCAGCCGCGGUAAUA
rnacentral:rRNA from 1 species